AGUAAUAUGCCUGAUAAAAGGAAUAUUUCGAUAAAAUACAAAUGUAAAUUAAUUUACUAUUACUA
rnacentral:tRNA from 1 species